GUCUGAAUUGAUGAAAGCAUGAGGGAGAAAGAAAGUGGCUCAAAACAUCAAAAAGGCUCUGCAGUGCUCCAGGAUCUCGCCUCAUAUGGAGCCUGGAGGGAGGCAGACUACAGUAAAUAAAUUUUUCUGAUGUUCAAUGAUGGGAUUGUACUGUAGAAGUAGAUUAUCAUUACCAC